rnacentral:pre_miRNA from 1 species
AUAGUACUCCCUCCGUCCCAAAAUUCUUGUCUUAGAUUUGUCUAGAUACGGAUGUAUCAAGUCACGUUUUAGUAUUAGAUACAUCCGUAUCUAGACAAAUCUAAGACAAGAAUUUUGGGACGGAGGGCGUAUAUA